rnacentral:tRNA from 1 species
GCGAAGGUGGCGGAAUUGGUAGACGCGCUAGCUUCAGGUGUUAGUGUCCUUACGGACGUGGGAAUUGGUAGACGCGCUAGCUUCAGGUGUUAGUGUUCUUACGGACGUGGGGGUUCAAGUCCCCCCCCUCGCACCA